GAUGAAGAACGCAGCGAAAUGCGAUAAGUAAUGCGAAUUGCAGAAUUCCAGUGAGUCAUCGAAUCUUUGAACGCACAUUGCGCCCCCUGGUAUUCCGGGGGGCAUGCCUGUUCGAGCGUCAUUUCACCACUCAAGCCUCGCUUGGUAUUGGGCAACGCGGUCCGCCGCGUGCCUCAAAUCGACCGGCUGGGUCUUCUGUCCCCUAAGCGUUGUGGAAACUAUUCGCUAAAGGGUGUUCGGGAGGCUACGCCGUAAAACAACCCCAUUUCUAAGGUUGACCUCGGAUCAGGUAGGGAUACCCGCUGAACUUAAGCAUAUCAAUAAGCGGAGGA
rnacentral:misc_RNA from 1 species